CCUUUGACGUUAGCGGCGGACGGGUGGGUAACACGUGGGUAACCUACCUAUAAGACUGGGAUAACUUCGGGAAACCGGAGCUAAUACCGGAUAAUAUUUCGAACCGCAUGGUUCAUAGUGAAAGAUGGUUUUGCUAUCACUUAUANAUGGACCCGCGCCGUAUUAGCUAGUUGGUAAGGUAACGGCUUACCAAGGCUACGAUACGUAGCCGACCUGAGAGGGUGAUCGGCCACACUGGAACUGAGACACGGUCCAGACUCCUACGGGAGGCAGCAGGA
rnacentral:rRNA from 1 species